UCCAGCAAGAUGACUAAGGCUUCACUCAAAUUGGUUUGCUUGGUUGUCCUCCUGGUUAUUGCAGCAGCAAGUUUGCCAAAGAGAGCCGAAGGUCAAAACUAGACCAAGUCGCCAUGGAAUCCAGAGAGCUAGAGCCUAUAGAGCUGGAUGCUCCCCAUCACUUGCUUUCAGAGGAAUGCGAUCCAUUAUGUUGGCCUGAUUGUAUUUGUAAGUGAAGAAAUUUAUUGCUUGUAUAAUAAAAGGAGGACGGCAACCACACACAAACUCCAAAUGUUGAUCAAGCGCUCAUGAUGAAAACCAGUGAUCUUGUUUUAAAAUUAGGGAAUAGUUAGUUGUUUUGUGCUGGGUUCGUCAUGAUAUAUGUAGAGUGAAAACCAGUGAUCUUGUUUUUAUAAUUUUCUGGGCAUGAAGUUUGUGGAAUUAAUUCCUUGCAGAA